AUUGAACGCUGGCGGAAUGCUUUACACAUGCAAGUCGAACGGUAGAGGGGGCAACCCCUCGAGAGCGGCGAACGGGUGAGUAAUAUAUCGGAACGUGCCCAGUCGUGGGGGAUAACGUAGCGAAAGUUACGCUAAUACCGCAUACGAUCUAAGGAUGAAAGCGGGGGAUCGCAAGACCUCGCGCGAUUGGAGCGGCCGAUAUCAGAUUAGGUAGUUGGUGGGGUAAAGGCUCACCAAGCCAACGAUCUGUAGCUGGUCUGAGAGGACGACCAGCCAGACUGGAACUGAGACACGGUCCAGACUCCUACGGGAGGCAGCAGUGGGGAAUUUUGGACAAUGGACGCAAGUCUGAUCCAGUCAUUCCGCGUGCAGGAUGAAGGCCCUCGGGUUGUAAACUGCUUUUGUACGGAACGAAAAGGUCUCUCUUAAUACGGGGGACUCAUGACGGUACCGUAAGAAUAAGCACCGGCUAACUACGUGCCAGCACCGCCGUAA
rnacentral:rRNA from 1 species